rnacentral:rRNA from 1 species
AAUCAAGUGGAGGACAAGUCUGGUGCCAGCACCCGCGGUAAUUCCAGCUCCACUAGCGUAUAUUAAAGUUGUUGCAGUUAAAAAGCUCGUAGUUGAACCUCUGUCUGGGGCUAGUUUUGGCUUUGGUCAGGCUAGUUCUAGGCAUCCGCCUACAAGACUUAGAGGGCAUUCAGUUGUUCACUAGGAGGAGUAGGCAUUUUACUUUGAAAAAAUUAGAGUGUUUAAGGCAGGCAAUCGCCCGCAUAUAUUAGCAUGGAAUAAUAGAAUAGGACACUUUUCCAUUUCGUUGGUUAUUGGAAUCGUGUAAUGAUUAAUAGGGACAGUUGUGGGCAUUUGUAUUUAAUUGUCAGAGGUGAAAUUCUUGGAUUUAUUAAAGACAAACUAACGCGAAAGCAUUUGCCAAGGAUGUUUUCAUUAAUCAAGAACGAAAGUUAGGGGAUCAAAGACGAUCAGAUACCGUCCUAGUCUUAACUAUAAACUAUUCCGACUCAAUGUUUGACUGGCUUAUAUAACCAGUUGAGCGUUGUAUGAGAAAUCAAAGUCUUUAGGUUCUGGGGGGAGUAUGGUUGCAAAGCUGAAACUUAAGGGAAUUGACGGAAGAGCACAACCAGGAGUGGAUUCUGCGGCUUAAUUUGACUCAACGCGGGGAAACUUACCAGGUUAAAACAAUAGUGGGAUUGACAGUUUGAGAGCGCUUUCUUGAUUGGUUGGGUGGUGGUGCAUGGCCGUUCUUAGUUGGUGGAGUGAUUUGUCUGCUUAAUUGCGUUAACGAACGAGACCUUAACCUGCUUACUAGACUGGCGAUCAUCAAUCGUUAGCUCUUCUUAGAGGGACUUUGGUUGUUUUAACUCCAAGGAAGUUUGAGGCAAUAACAGGUCUGUGAUGCCCUUAGAUAUCCUGGGCCGCACGCGUCAUACAAUGACUAGUUCAGAAAGUUUUCUCCUGACCCGAAAGGGGAUGGGUAAUCUUGAUAAUACUAGUCGUGUUAGGGAUCGAUCUUUGCAAUUAUAGAUCUUGAACGAGGAAUUCCUAGUAAGUGCGGUUCAUCAGACCGUACUGAUUACGUCCCUGCUCUUUGUACACACCGCCCGUCGCUUCUACCGAGUGGGUGGUCCGGUGAGAUAAUUGAACUUCGCAGGUAACUGAGAGGAAAGAUUAUCAAACCUAUCCACCU